GCUAGAGAAGAUUAGUGGCGGACGGGUGAGUAACAUUUAGGAAUCUGCCUAGUAGUGGGGGAUAGCUCGGGGAAACUCGAAUUAAUACCGCAUACGACCUACGGGUGAAAGGGGGCGCAAGCUCUUGCUAUUAGAUGAGCCUAAAUCAGAUUAGCUAGUUGGUGGGGUAAAGGCCCACCAAGGCGACGAUCUGUAACUGGUCUGAGAGGAUGAUCAGUCACACCGGAACUGAGACACGGUCCGGACUCCUACGGGAGGCAGCAGUGGGGAAUAUUGG
rnacentral:rRNA from 1 species